GACCAACGUAGCAUCUUGGACCUGCCCAGUUGAGGAUUUGAUCACCUAUUCCUCUUUUAGGGUUGCCUAUUUUUGUUUGUUUUUUAAUUUUGGGAUCUGUAGCACGCAGAGUCUUUCUCUCUCUCCCCCCCCCCCUUUCCUAAGGGGCAAUUUAUAAAGAUUACUACAGGAGUAAAUUUCGGCUGGCUGCAUUUUAACGGAUGGCUGGUUGCUAACUCUCAUUAUUUCAGGCAGGAAAAGAGCUGGAUGGAUGGCACCAACAGAUUGCAGAGGAGGGACCCUCCUCAAAUUAUUAUCCUCUGCCCAGAUUUCGGAGUUCCACAUCGCUGGAUCUGGUACCCAAAAUAGAACAGAUGCACCCGGAGCAUUUCCGCUCUGCCGUUGUCAUUUUUAUUUUUAAAUUACCCCUGUAGUAGCACCCAUGAGUUGCUCCUACUCCUUGUCACCCAGCCAAAACACCUGAAUCUAGGCCAAGUAAGCAAAUUUGGAAGGAUCGAGCAGGCAAAAGUUACAACAGCCGUGUUUCUUCGACCACUCUACAAGUUGUAAUGUGCUUCAGUGGGUCAUAAAAAGAAGGGAGCAAAUAGGUUUUUUUUGCAAAUAGAGAAAGCGGGGUGUACAAAUUUUUGGAGGCUGAGGAGUCUGCCAGGCCUGGGCUUUUGAAAGGCUGCAAAAAAACAAUUUAUGGAAGGGAAGGUGAAGACUUAUUCAUCGCACAGCUGCUUCUCCUGUUGACGGUCGGAUUUGCAAACCAACGAUCAGGUCUUGGCUGCUCAGCUCGAGGGGCUUCCACAAAGAGGAGGGGGUCAAAUUAUCCCCCAAAGCACCUGAAGGCAGGACAAGAAGCAACGGACGGAAACUCAUCAAGGAAUGAAGCAACCUGGAACUAAGGAGAAAUUUCCUGACCCUGAGGACAAUUAACCAGUGGAACCGCUUGCCACCAGAAGUUGUGGGGGCUCCAUCAUUGGAGGCUUUUAAGAAGAGACUGGACAGCCACUUGUCUGAAAUGGUAUAGGGGAGUGAUGGCUAACCUUUUUGCUGUCGUGUGCCAAAAGUGGGGGGAGUGUGUGUGUGGGGGGGGUCGCGUGCACACGUGCCCACACACAUAAUUCAAUGCCGCCCCCGUGCAUGCGCGUGCAUCCCCCGCACUCCCCCCGCUUUUGGCACGCAUUGGCAAAAAGGUUACCGGUGGGCCCGGUAGGCCUGUUUUUUGCCCUCCCCAGGCUCUAGAGGCUUUCUUGGAACCUGGGGAGGGCGAAAACGGCCUCCCCCACCCUCUCGGAAGCCCCCUGGAGGCCGCAAAUGGCCAUUUCCCAGCUUCUGGUGGGCCCAGAAGGACCGAAAAUCAGCUGGCCGGUGCACGCAUGCGCGCUGAAGCUGAGCUAGAGUAAUGCUCAGGUGCCCACAGAUAUGGCUCUGUGUGUUGUGACCCAGGCCCAAGUAGGUAUUAUCAGACGCAAUCAGUUUGAAACAAACAGACUUUAUUAGAACAGGUGAGAAUUAACUCAUUCCCAGCGUAGUCCAAACUAAUUCAAAACAAAUUCUUCAUAACACAAUUCUUCAGCCUUAUCACCAACCUUGGUCUACUUUGGCAACCUGCCAAAGGCUUUUCUGGGCAAAAGUUCAGAAGCAGAAGACGCCGACAAGAAAUAAAUGCAGCAAGACAAGAAACAAAUCUAUCAACGUUGUUUUCCAACAAAGAGCCCAAGAGCCGUUGCUAGUCUGUUUUAAGCCUUAUGGGAGGGGCCAAUCAUCUCCUGGCCUUACUCCCGAGUCGUCCCUUUUGCUUUAGCUGCUCUUGCCUUCUGGCAGCUCUUCUCAUGCGUGCACAAGGAACAGGCUCCUCCUGUUCCUCUGCCUCUCUGCUGUCAGCCUCUGGAGGCUCCGAAGUCUGCGCAUCACUCCCCGAUGGGCCUGGCCCCAUCUCUGCCUCCGAUGAAGAGCCCUCCCCAGCCUCCAGGACUGGCCCCUGUUCUUCCUCAGCCUCAUCGCUGUCUGACUCCGCUGCCAGCUCCGCAGGCUGCUGGCGGACCACAACACUGUGUGCCACCUGUGGCACGCAUGCCAUAGGUUCGCCAUCAUGCGUAUAGGGUCUCCAGCUUGAGCAGGCGGUUGGACUAGAAGACCUCCAAGGUCCCUUCCAACUUCUGUAUUCUAUGUUCUUGAAUAGCUUAGGUUGAGCAACUGUCUAUGAACGUCUGACUCACAACUAUCUAGAGCAGGAAGUCUGUAGAGAUUCUUAGUCAUCCAAGCCAUGGUUGUCCCAAAGGUGCUUUUUCCGGAGGCACCUGGACUUUUAGCUAUUCAAUUUGGGAUUUACAACCCUUGGAAUGGUGUGGGAGUAGGAAUGGAUUUCCAGAGGAAAAAAUUGCAGACUACAGAAACCAUUUGCACCACUCAGGUGACCCUGAGGACAUAGGUAAACCUCCAAGUGGCCUCAACGACCCUCUAAAAGGAUGCAAAUGACCAGCUGUCUGCAAGGAGUAUAAAUCCUUCCCUUUCCCACCAUCCAGUCAGAGCCAAAGAAGCUUCUUGGAAGAGAAGCGAAAUGUCUUCAAAAGAAAAAAAGAAGAAUGGUUUGAAAAAAUGACAAAGAGACAUAUUGACUUUAAACCAGAGACAUUUUUAUUAGGGAUCUUACCAGAGACAUUUAAUAAAGAAUUGCAAUAUUUAAUUGUGAAUGUUUUAACAGCAGCUAGAAUUGUAUUUGCCAAAAAUUGGAAAGGAGAGAAGACAAUUACUGAUGAAGAAAUUAUUAAGAAAAUGUUGGAUUGUGCUGAAAUGAGUAGAUUGAUAUUUGAAAUAAGAGAACAGGAAGAUAAACAAUAUUAUUUGAUAUGGGAUUUAUUUUAUCAAUGGAUAGAUAAUAAAACAUGGAGAUGAAAUAUGAUAUAUGAAAUGAAGUUAAGAUAAAAUGUGUAAAAAUUUCUUUUUUUUUUCCCUUAGGGGAAAAGAAACAUGUGUCAUAUAUUGAAAUCUUGAAGAGUUUGUGAGCACAAAAAGAUUUUAACCGACCGAAACACUGUCUGUAAUUGUUUGAAAGGAUGAUGCUUUUAUGUAGUUUUUUGUUUGAAAAAAUAAAAAAAUGAAAUCUUAAAAAAAAAA